ACCCAACAGAGUGAAUGUUCUACACACAGCAAAUUCUCAACAAAUUACUUAAGUCUUGUAUAUAAGCAUAUAAGUGAGCAUCUUGUAAAAUACAUUGCUUUUCUUCUCAUCUUUAACUCACAUUAUGAAAUAUAUUUUUCCUCCCUACAAAAAAAAAAAUGCACAAAUACAAAAGAAGUUAUCAGAUAGAAAAACACACACAAAAUAGCAAAAUUAUAAUAAAUAUCCUUUAUUCUAAGUCUAGUAAUGAUAUUUUUUCCCAUUAUAGACAAAUUUCUCUGACCAUUUUUCUCAAAAUUAUUUCUUAAAUAAAAAUUGAGUCAACUAAUAAAUUUCAAAGAUGAAUUUAAAAAAUAUUAAAAUGUAGUAUUAAUGUAAGCAAAACAUUAAAAUUAUGGAAAUAGUUUCACCAUGUAAGUAUCCACAUGUAUAUAUGCAUAUCAAUAACACUAAUUUUCUCACAUUAACAGAAGUGA